CUCCUGUUCUUUCUGAAACUCCGCCUUCAGCACACCAUCCAAUCACAACCUGUAAAAUCUGUUGAGAAUGUCAGUCCCUGUAGAGACAAACAGGAAGCAGUAGACACCAUGACGAGGAACCUCAGCAGCAUCGCUCUGCUGCUGCUCUGCUGCUGCUAUUGUUCUUUGACCAAUGAUGUCCAGCAGGAUCCACCAGCAAUAUUAGGAACUCUUCAGGGUCCUGCAACAAUCACCUGCAGCCACUCAGUCAGCACAUUUAACGUGAUUCUGUGGUACCAGAAGCCGACCGGCGGCUCCGCUCUCCAGUUAGUCGGUCAUACUUUGUAUGAAAAACCAACAGUGGAGCCUGAAUUCAAUGGUCGCUUCAGUAUAAAAGGAGACGGCUCAAAGAAAUCUGAGCUCCAUGUGGAGAAACUGCAGCCUGAAGACAGCAGCAUGUAUUACUGUGCAGCUAGUAGCACAGUGACUCAGUUCAUGUCUCCCCCUCUACAAAAAGUGAUGCAACCUUCUCCGUUACAGAGGGAACCAUCGUUCACCUGCUGAUAAUAACAUGAUAUUCAACAAAACCACAGGGGAGGAUGGGCUGAUCACAAUAUGAGACUUGGAAUAUUAUUUUG